AGAGUUUGAUCCUGGCUCAGGACGAACGCUGGCGGCGUGCUUAACACAUGCAAGUCGAACGAAAAGACUGAAAGAACUUGCUCUUUUCCUAAUUGAGUGGCGAAUCUGGAGUGAGUAACACGUAGACUACCUGCCGUCAGGAUGGGGACGACAGACGGAAACAACUGCUAAUACCAAAGAAGUUCCAAGAGCCGACUGGCCCAUGGAAUAAAAGGUGGCCUCUACCUGUAAGCUAUCGACAGAAAAGGGGUUUGCAUCUGAUUAGCUGGGUGGAGGGGUAACGGCCCACCAAGGCAACGAUCACUAGGCCGGUCUGAGAAGAUGAACGGUCGCGCAUGGAACUGAGACACCGACCUACACUCCUACGGGAGGCACCAGUGCCGAAUUCUCCGCAAUGGCAGCAAUCCUGACGGAGCCACACCGCGUGAGUGCUGGCGGCCUUCGGGUUGUAAAACUGUGUGAUCCUGGACGAAAAGGCAGAGUGCUCAGCACAAACGGCAUUGACGGUACCGGAAAAGCAAGCCCCGGCUAACUACGUGCCAGCAGCCGCGGUAAUACGUAGGUGGCAAGCGUUGUCCGGAAUUAUUGGGCGUAAAGCGCGCGCAGGCGGCUUCCCAAGUCCCUAUUAAAAGUCCGGGGCUCAACCCCGUGAUGGGAAGGAAACUGGGCCGUUGGAGUAUCGGAGAGGAAAGUGGAAUUCCUAGUGGAGCGGUGAAAAGGGUAGAGAUUAGGAAGAACCCCCGUGGGGAAGGGGACUUUCUGGACGAAAACCGGCGGUGAGGCGUGAAAGCGUGGGGAGCCAACCGGAUUAGAUUCCCUGGUAGUUCCCCCCGUAAA
rnacentral:rRNA from 1 species